UCCCAAAUAGUAUAGUGGCCAGUACACCUGCCUGUCAUUGAGACAGGCGGUCGCAGGAGACCGGAGUUCGAUUCUCCGUUUGGGAG